CUCGCAGCGUACGUGUCGUGUAUCGCGGCUCGGAGCGUUCUACUCCCCUUUACCCCUCGUCACCUAUCUCUUUUCUCUUUCUCUCUCCCUCUCGCAUCGCGUACGUCGUAUCGCGCAUUCGUAUUACGCGACGGCAGUGAUUCUACGUGCUUGACGCGACGCGACGCGACGCGCCGCGUCGGCACGUGCCGGCGUCGGAGGAUCGGCGGCGGCGGCGACCGGAGAAGAUCCGGGAGGGACGAAUUUUGAAUUUCGGAGCCAGACGUCCGGCCGGUCGGCGUGCUCCGCUCUCGGGCAUCGGUGCGUUUGUUUUGACAUGUGUGUAGGCUGCCAUAUUGGAUUACCGCAUCGCUGCCGUUGUUGCUGCUGCUGUUGCCGUCGUCGUCGUCGUCGUUAUCAUCGUCAUCACCCUUGCCGCGGGGCACCUAGGCGCGAGACGUGAUUUUCGCGCUAAAAAAAAGGACGAUCUAUUUGUGGAUCAGGCAUGGAACCUGUCACAACGAUUGCGCGGUACAGUUAAGGUCGGGCGGUUGAUGCCUGAUGGCGCGGGCUGGAACGCAACGCUGGAGAAAUCCUGCUCCAGAGUAAG